rnacentral:rRNA from 1 species
GACGAACGCUGGCGGCGUGCCUAAUACAUGCAAGUAGAACGCCCAGUUUAUACCGUAUCUUGCUACACCAUAAACUGUGAGUUGCGAACGGGUGAGUAACGCGUAUGUAACCUGCCUUGUAGCGGGGGAUAACUAUUGUUACCGUUAUCUAAUACCCCAUAUUAUUGAUUAUUGCAUGAUUCUUGAUUGAAUGCUCCUAUUGCUUCACUACCAUCUGGUCCUGCGUUUUAUUAGCUAGUAGGUGAGGUAACGGCUCACCUAAGCGGCGAUACAUAGGCGACCUGGAAAGGAGGACGGCCACAACGGGAAUGAAGAACGGCCCAAACUCCUACGGGGAGGAGGAGUAGGGAAAUAUCGGAAAUGGACGAAAGUCUGGACGAGCAACGACGGGGGAGUGAAGGAAGUUUUCGGAGCGUAAAGCUCUGUUGGAAGAGAAGAAAGAGUGGGAGAGUGGAAAGUUCACACUGUGACGGUAUCUUAACAGAAAGGGACGGCUAACUACGUG